rnacentral:tRNA from 1 species
AAAAAGUUAGUUAAUUUAUAACAUUAAUAUGUCAUAUUAAAAUUAUUAGUAUUUAAUACUUUUUU